AGCUACUGGUCUCCUAGGGACCCGGCUUUUGUGAGGCAGUCCGAAAAGUGGCACUUCAUUCUACCCCUGGUCCAGUCGGAUGUGCUGGCCUCGGUCAGUGGUUGAUCCCACCUGUCUGCCUUCUGCCCUGGGUGACCUUUGAAAGGUCUGGACAUUAAAGGUUAGCAAACAUGGGACUCUGCCAGGAGGGCCAGGCCCCAGAUCCAUCCUUCCGUUCUGGGGGAGGAAGAUGGAUGGGGAGGGACUUCUGUGAUUUCAGAUUCCCUCUUGGCCCUGAGAAGGGGCCGACGGGCACCUUGGCCACUCAGAGCUGGGGCUUGGCGAGGCCCUGAUAAGAGGGUGGUGUGGAUGGAGCCCUCCCUGGAUGCCCACACCUGCCUCCCAGGCACAGGGAAGCCUGACCUCUGGAGCUCAGUGGGGUCAGCAAAGACCCCGAGCCCCUUACUUCUGGGAGCCUGCGGGUUGUUACUGGUUUCCCUGAUGAAAUCCGUUAUUUGUGGUAGGCCUUGGGAGAGACCAAGAGAGUGAAGCUAGAGGCGGGUGUAUCAUCACAGCAAGGUGGUGGUGAAGGAAACGCUAUGGGCACGUAUCCUGCUCCUCUGGGCUUUGCAACGUAGCCAAAUCCAAGAAUGCCUGUGCUUGUAAUUCCAGGAGCUGACACUAGGUGGUGCCUGAUCCACAGCGUGGACGGCGGGGAUAUCAUUUGGGGACAGAUUUUACCGCCUUUAAGUACAAUACAGUUAUUUACUGACACAGUCAUGCAUAUCAAGAGUUUCAAUGCCCUUCUCCCACUGUCUUUGCACAGUGAGGCAGUGGUCUUCAUUCUGCCCGGAGGCUCCUUCUUAGCUUCCUCCUCUUCUGGCAGUUGUCACCUCAGCCUCAUUCUGGGGCCUGGAGUCUGUUCUGCCUGCUCAGAUUUCAGAGCAACAUCAAAAAGCUUUGCUUGCUGGCAGUGUAUGGGGAGAGGCCUGCUAGGCUCCAGCUCAGACCGAAUUAGCUCGGCACUGCUCUUCUGUCAAUCAGGCCUUCUCGGCUCCUCCCUCCCCUGCCUGGCCUUUAAGGGGGAGAGUCUCAUCUUCUUCUCCCAGGGGCCCGUUCCUUGCAAGUCGCUUGAGCUUUCUUUCCUCUCUGUGAUCGGGAGAGAGAGAGGGAGGUGUCAAGGUGGCAGUUGUAGAAGCUGACGGACACUUCUUCCCACGGUUAAGGCAGAGCGACUUUGGAAAUGAAGCUGCAUCACUCAUCCCCACUGUCUUUGAACCUGAUCUCCAGGCACUAGUUACUUGGCAUAAAAUCACGCAAUCCUUUCUGAGAGCCAACCCAGCAACUUUCAUCUGGUUUCCUGAUAAGAACCUAGGCUGUUUGGAUUUUCCCCCUUUCUUUAACUGUCUGAAAACACACCUGAAAUCCACAGUUGUGGAUGUCACAGCUCAGGGGUGUAAAUACACACACAACUUUUGGAAAAACACGCGUGAACGAUUUACAGUGAUUGCCUCUGGGGGAGGGACUAGGUGUUUGAGCUGGUCCAUGUUCUCCUGUAAAAUCUUCCAUGACAGGGAAGGCUCGGGGAUUCUCCGACCCCAGACCCUAAAGAAGAGAUACAGGAGUGGGAGGGGCCUUGUAGUUCCCCGUCUCACUAGUAGUCUGGGCCUGCAGCGAUUCUCCUCUUAGGCUUACGUGAGCUUGAGGGCGUAGAGAGGGGAUUUACUAGAUGAGGUACCAGAUAGGGACCAUGGCAAGGGGUCACUGGGAAAAUUGGGUGCUGUCGAAGUGAAGCCCUCACUGGCCCCAGCAGGAAGCAGGGCUUGAGUGGAGGCAGGGUGGAGGCUGGGAGCCUGUGCAGCUCUCCUCUCUCCACAGCAAGGCCCUUCCCCAGGUCUUCCUGGCCCCCAGCUCUUCCCCCGUGGGUGCCCUCCCACUUCUGGGGCAGACUCCCUGGAGUCACACCCAGCGCCCUGCCAAUCCCUCCCACGAUAGCUUCCUCUCCUCCCUCCCCGCUCAGAUCUCCUUUUAACUCUGAGCAAUCCUUCCUUCCCCCAGAGGCAAGAUUUUCUCUCUCCUUAUCCUUUCCAUCGAUAGCCUACCACUUCAUGUUUAAAUAAAAGUGCAUCUGAAUAAAACAGGAGUUCAGAAUCAAAGUAUCCCAGCCUUGCCUUUUGUUCCAGCCACAGUGAGCAGCUUUCUGGAGCAAGCUUUGCUGUCCCCCUUCCAGACUUGGCAGACUCUAUUCCCUCUGCCUGAAGCACACGUCCCUUCCCUUCGCUGCCUUUUCACUUCCCUGACCCCUGGCUUUUUACAGGGUUCCCCUAGGGCCUCUCUUCCUCCUGUAAGUGCAUCAUUCUCGAAUGAAGUUGUGUGUUAAUAUGUGCCAAACGUUCACUCAGCUCAUGGAGGAGGUGUGAUAAGCCAUUACAGUAAGGUCUCCCACUCACCCACACGCCCUGUGUCUACACAUUCCCACCCCCUGACCUGCUUUGACCAAUGGCUCGAUAACAAAGCAGAUACAAGCCGAGCCCCGAAAAGUGCUCGCAUAUGGGUGCUUGCCCUCGCUUCCUUCUCUUGGAAACCAGCAACUACUGUAUAAAAAGCUCAGGCCAGCCUGCUGGAUGAUGGAAGAUGCAGUUCCAGUUGUCCCUUUUGCUCUGGUCAGCAGCUGGCCAGUCACCUGACAUGUAUGCAAGGCGGUUUUUAGAUCACUCAGGUACCCAGUGUUCUGCCAGCUCACUCUGGGUGCAUAAUCAUGCCCAUUAGAGAUGACUCAUGUCAUCCCAGACCAGAAGAACACCCAGCCAACACCCAGAAUCUUGGGCUAAACAAAUGGCUCUUGCGUGAAGCCACUCAGUUUGGGGUUUUGUUACACAGCCAAAGCUACCUGAUACAUGAGGGAAUCAGCAGAGAGAACAAAGCUGGUUCACUUAAGAUGUGAGAAGUUGGGGUUUACGCAGUCAGUGGAAAAAAGAAGGCUGAAAAUAAAAGCGCCAGUUCACUUUUUACAAUUCAGUGUAAAACUGGUUCAUAUCCAACAGGGCAAUAAAAAGUUACCUGUUGAAUUAUCUUCCGUCAAAGACUCAGAGGUGUUUAGGAAAUAAAAGAAAAAGUUUACCUUCAAAGCUGUGAGGGAGUUUGACUUCGGAGGGCUGGCUUCCCAAAUAUAAAACACAAUGAGCAUUGAAAGAAAAAAAAAAAAAAAAAAAAAAAAACCCUGCAAAAUCACCAAGGUUAUCAAGUUUACAUUAGCUUUUUCAUGGUGAAAAAAAAAAAAAACACCUUUCUCAGACUAUUAUCAUCACCCCAAAGGUCAGGGCCUGUCUUCAGACAUCAGCACGGCAGAAAGCAAGGGUGAAAUGGGUAUUGUCAGGGAGUGCAGCUCUGUGGGAAAUGGCCAGGGUUUUAUGAUCCAGAGCUGAGCAGGGGGAUCCUGUUCCUUUCGCUUUAAUUUUCCCCCUAGCUGCAGUCCGUAGAGAACUUAAUCAUACUAGAGUCAGAAAGCAUCAGUGUCAGUUUUUAUUUCUACCCUUAUUUACUGGAUAGGAAAAACUAAUCAUCUCUCUUCAUCUGUUUUAUACACGUUAACUUCUAAUUUUAUGCCUGAGCUCUAAUCAAGAAUUUGUCAAAGAGGAAGUUCCUUUCAUGACUCAGUGGUUAACGAAUUUCUCUAGGAUCCAGGAGGAUUCGGGUUCCAUCCCUGGCCUCCCUCAGUGGGUUAAGGAUCCGGCGUUGCCGUGAGCUGUGGUGUGGGUCACAGAUGCGGUUUGGAUCCCAAGUUGCUGUGGCUGUGGCGCAGGCCUGCACCUGUAGCUCCGAUUCGACCCCUAGCCUGUAGUUGAAUUUUCAUGAUAUACCCAUAAUCACAAAAACACACCACUACUACCCUUUAACAAGAUCUGGGGAUCUCACUCCCCCAGAGUCCGUGUGCAGCGUCCCAAGACCUGCCUGGGACUCAGAGGUCUGACACUUUCUGUUUGAGUGGCCCCCCGCCCCCGUUCCCCUCUAGACUCCCUAGUGCCACAACUUAAUGUUUCAGGUAAGAUGCCUCCAGUGUCCUCAAAUUUACCUGAAAUCAUUUGUGAUGCAAGGCUAGGCUGUGGAAAAAAGACAUGAGGCUGAUCUCUGCUCUCAGUAGAAAACAGCGCUACAAAACGGUGGACAGACAAAUGGUCAUUGGAUGGGAAAAAGAAAGACUAAUUUAAGAUGUUUAUUGUUCACUCUGCCAGUGAGUAUUGGAACCUAUCAAAGAACCAAAUAGGCAUGGCCGUUUGCCAUGGUGAAGCUUACCAAAGGAGUUCUAUGGCAUCGCCCCAGAAACAGCCCCCACAGGGUGUUUGGCCCGCAGGUGGGUUUUGUUGCCCCUGUGGUCCACUGUGGCCAUCACGUCUCCUCUGCAGUCCCCUUGCUCUGGGAGGCUGGGACUUCAGUUGCAGCAAGGGGAGGUGGUGCCUUUCCCAGCCACCCCAAACUGGACUGGGAAGGACUGAGCCUUUUGGCAGAGAGGAUGAAGAAAUGAGUGCCAAAAACAGAGGCAAAGCCCUGUGCUCAGUUAUCUGCUGGAAGACCCAUGGUGAAGGACUCAGGACGAACGUCAGUGGGUUGGUUGUACGUGCCCGUAUUUGCAGGAAAGGAGCAAGGUCAGUUGGCAGUAUCUGCCACGGAGUCUGGACUGGGGAGUAAAAUAAGCAAUUAAUCUCUUAAUCCUUGGGCUAAAUUUUGAAAUCCCUCUCUCACUGUCCAACUCCCUUCCCGCCUGCCCUGCCUCCGGGGAUCUGCGUUCUGUUCCUAUAACUGAAUUUCAGUUCUCUUGGGUUUUAUUUUUAAAUUUUUAUUUAUUUAUUUAAAUUUUAUUGGAGUAUAGUUGACUUACAGUUGUGUUCGUUUCAGGUAUACGGCAGAGUGCUUAGAUAUACGUACGCGUAUAUCCAUUCCUUUUCAGCUUCUUUCCCCAUACAGGUUAUUACACAGUAUUGAGUGGCUUCAGUUGACUCAAUUCAGUAUUGAGUAUUCCCUGUGCUGCUCGGUAGGUCCUUGUUACUUCGGGAGAAAUUAGGAGGUUGGGAUCCGUUUUCUUGAGUUUUAAAGAGAGGGACCCGUACAGUAUGUGCUGUCUCACAUCAGGCUUCUUUCCUCCAGCAUUAUCCUCAUUUGGAGAUUCGUCCCUGUUGCCUCUCUUCACCGUUCAUCAUUGCUGAGUGGUGCUCUUCCACUGUAUGCAUGUGCAUUUGUUUAUCUGUUCUCCUGUUGCAGGGCCAGUGGAUACCUCAGCUGAUUCUGACUUUGGGCUAUCACAAAUGAAGUUGCUUUGACAUCUCCGUACAAGUUUUGUAUGGCUACAUAUGUUCUUUUCCUUUGGGUAAAUAUCUAGGGCUAAAAUGGCUGGAUCAUAUGAUACGUGUUUGCUUUACUUAAGAAGCCGUUGGAGUUCCUGUCGUGGCUCAGUGGUUGGCAAAUCUGACUAGGAACCAUGAGGUUUUGGGUUCGGUCCCUGGCCUUGCUCAGUGGGUUAAGGAUCCGGUGUUGCCGUGAGCUGUGGG
rnacentral:lncRNA from 1 species